rnacentral:rRNA from 1 species
UACGGAGGGUGCAAGCGUUAUCCGGAUUCACUGGGUUUAAAGGGUGCGUAGGUGGGCUUGUAAGUCAGUGGUGAAAUCUCCGUGCUUAACAUGGAAACUGCCAUUGAUACUAUAGGUCUUGAAUUAUCUGGAGGUUAGCGGAAUAUGUCAUGUAGCGGUGAAAUGCUUAGAUAUGACAUAGAACACCAAUUGCGAAGGCAGCUGGCUACAGGUAUAUUGACACUGAGGCACGAAAGCGUGGGGAUCAAACAGG